rnacentral:rRNA from 1 species
CCUACGGGAGGCAGCAGUGAGGAAUAUUGGUCAAUGGACGCAAGUCUGAACCAGCCAUGCCGCGUGCAGGAAGACGGCUCUAUGAGUUGUAAACUGCUUUUGUACGAGGGUAAAUCCCGAUACGUGUAUCGGGUUGAAAGUAUCGUACGAAUAAGGAUCGGCUAACUCCGUGCCAGCAGCCGCGGUAAUACGGAGGAUUCAAGCGUUAUCCGGAUUUAUUGGGUUUAGAGGGUGCGUAGGCGGUUCGAUAAGUUAGAGGUGAAAGCCCGGGGCUCAACUCCGGCACUGCCUCUGAUACGGUCGGGCUAGAGUUUAGUUGCGGUAGGCGGAAUGUAUGGUGUAGCGGUGUAAUGCAUAGAGAUCAUACAGAACACCGAUUGCGAAGGCAGCUUACCAAACUACGACUGACGUUGAGGCACGAAAGCGUGGGGAGCAAACAGGAUUAGAUACACUAGUAGUC